rnacentral:lncRNA from 1 species
AGAACCGUCACUGUUGUGAAGAAAAGAUGGUGGAAUCACCAGGACCACGAAUGGAAACGCUCUUUAGAAAAGCAGUUUGAAGAAACUGACUUUCUCCUUGUUCUGUAAAGUGCACAGGGCGGCACUGCGGGCAUUCAGAGGGAGGAGGGCCCUUCCUGUUUGAAAAAGCCCCAGGGCUUUUUCCCCAUACAGACCUGAUCACCUGGAUUAAAAUAAAACAAAAAUACACGGCAGCCAAGUAGUUUGUAUCAUGCUUAUAUCUCAGAUCACUAGAACCUGGCCUGAUGGGUUUAUAUGUUUGUAUGUAUUUUUAAAUGAAUAUUUUAAAAUAAAACUCAGUGAAAUCGUCACAGCAAACUGAAGAUGAUUCUUCCUUUUAGGCCUUCAUAGGUUUGAAUGUUUGAACCUAUGUUUACUUUUGAUAGGAAAAAAAUUGAGGAAAGCAAAUAACAUUUUUUCUCAGAAGGUGAAUCAACACAACCAGACCGUAAACUCUCUUAAAGGUAGGGUUAUUUCUUUCUUCACUCUGUACAUAUAGCAGGCACUUAGGUACUAAAACAAAUUUGUUGA